rnacentral:rRNA from 1 species
UACAGAGACCUCAAGCGUUAUCCGGAAUCAUUGGGCGUAAAGCGUACCGAUAGGUGGUUAUACAAGUCAGAAGUGAAAUUCCAAAGCUUAACUUUGGGUCUGUCUUUUGAAACUGUAUAACUAGAAGGGCAAAGAGGAAGCUGGGACAAACGGUGUAGUAGUGAAAUGCGUUGAUAUCGUUUGGAACACCAAUAGCGUAGGCAGGCUUCUGGGUGCCACUUGACACUGCUAGGACGAAAGCGUGGGGAGCGAAUGGG